rnacentral:lncRNA from 1 species
UUCAAAUGUAAUUCAUUUUUAAUGCCAUAGUUAUAACUUAUAGAUUAGAAUUAUUAAUUGAUUCAUGUGAGUGUAAUUUCUAAGACAUAUUCUGUAAUUCGUAAAAAAGAUAGUUGUAGAGGAAAAUUUUACAAAAAUGGUUAAAUAUUGUUCUGCUUACGGUUGCUCCAAUUUGGAUAAGGGUCCUUCAUCUGGACGUAGAUUCCAUAGGUUUCUUAGAGAUCCAGUAGAGAUUCGGGAUAAAUGGGUUAAGGCUGUCCGUCGAAAAGACUUCACACAAUCCUCUCAUUCUGUAUAAUGCUCUGAUCACUAUUUGCUGGAGGACUAUUUAAGCAACCAUGUCUCUGAGAGCCAUAAGGAAAUUAAAAUACAACAGCGUUACUACCAAAUUUAAUGACGGUUCAAAUACUACUAAUCAACACCGGGGGAUAAAGCGUCGACUUUCAACUUGCCGAACUGAGGAUGAGGAUCAUUUGGUUGAUAGUAAUAUUCUCAUUAUUCCAAUGGAAACCAAAAAUGAGAUCGAUUACAAUAGAAUAAUAAGCAUAGACCAUCUGAUAUAAAUUUGGCGAAAAUCAAAUGUGAUAAUUUGCAAUCACUAUUAGACAAAAGCCAUGACCGUGAAAAAAAAAAUUGGGAACUUCGU